GACGAACGCUGGCGGCGUGCUUAACACAUGCAAGUCGAGCGGUAAGGCCCUUUCGGGGGUACACGAGCGGCGAACGGGUGAGUAACACGUGGGUGACCUGCCCUCAGCUCUGGGAUAAGCCUGGGAAACUGGGUCUAAUACUGGAUAUGACUCCACGGUGCAUGUCGUGGGGUGGAAAGCCUUGUGCGGCUGAGGAUGGGCCCGCGGCCUAUCAGCUUGUUGGUGGGGUGGUGGCCUACCAAGGCGACGACGGGUAGCCGGCCUGAGAGGGCGACCGGCCACACUGGGACUGAGACACGGCCCAGACUCCUACGGGAGGCAGCAGUGGGGAAUCUUGCGCAAUGGGCGAAAGCCUGACGCAGCGACGCCGCGUGAGGGAUGACGGCCUCGGUGUAA
rnacentral:rRNA from 1 species